AUACUAACCUGGACAGGGAUACCGUGAUCACGAAGGCGGUUUCUCCAGGGCGAGGAUCACCAUUGCACUCGGUGGCGCUGACCCUGCGAAUUAACCCAAAUGGGUAACUCGAGUGCGGCAAUUUUGGUAGCGGGGGACUGCGUUCGCGCUAUCCCCCU